UACGUAGGGUGCGAGCGUUAAUCGGAAUUACUGGGCGUAAAGCGUGCGCAGGCGGCGGCUCAAGUCAGAUGUGAAAUCCCUAGGCUUAACCUGGGAAUUGCAUUUGAAACUAGGUCGCUAGAGUUUGGCAGAGGGGGGUGGAAUUCCACGUGUAGCAGUGAAAUGCGUAGAGAUGUGGAGGAACACCAAUGGCGAAGGCAGCCCCCUGGGCUAAAACUGACGCUCAUGCACGAAAGCGUGGGGAGCAAACAGG
rnacentral:rRNA from 1 species